rnacentral:pre_miRNA from 1 species
UGGAGAAGCAGGGCACGUGCAUUACUAACUCAUGCACGAUUUUUUAUAUAUACCCGCACCCAAUGAGUUAGUUCUUCAUGUGCCCGUCUUCCCCAUC